rnacentral:rRNA from 1 species
AUACGGAGGGUCCAAGCGUUAUCCGGAUUCAUUGGGUUUAAAGGGUCCGCAGGCGGGGAAAUAAGUCAGUGGUGAAAGCCUACAGCUCAACUGUAGAACUGCCAUUGAUACUGUUUUUCUUGAGUAUAGAUGAAGUGGGCGGAAUAUAUCAUGUAGCGGUGAAAUGCAUAGAUAUGAUAUAGAACACCGAUUGCGAAGGCAGCUCACUAAACUAUUACUGACGCUCAGGGACGAAAGCGUGGGGAGCGAACUGGAUUAGAUACCCUAGUAGUCC